AAUCUAUUUUUCUUACUUACCAAGAUAAUAUUGAAUUUUAUUUCUGUUUUCUACAGUAUUAAUCUACCCAAUUUUAUGCCUGAAAAUUUGAGAAGCAUUUCCUUCACAUCAAAGUCAUGAAAAAAAAAAUACUGAAGAGUACCAGAUUCAGGACUGAUUUCAUUUCAUCACUCCACUUGAUAUCACUCUCAGGAGCUAAGUGAUCUGCAGCGUGAUCCACCUGCACAUUGUUCAGCUGGACCUGUUGGAGAUGACUUGUUUCAUUGGCAAGCGACUAU